rnacentral:misc_RNA from 1 species
UAUCCGUUGGUGAACCAGCGGAUGGAUCAUUACCUGAACAAACAUCAUUACAAAAUGGUGUGGUUGAUUUGUCAACCUCUGGCGUGGCUGGUGAAUCAGCCUGCCAGGACUUGUAGUGUGCGAUGAUGCACGCUUGAUGAGUGAAGGGAUUGCUGGAUUGGCGAGAUGCAUCCUCAAUUCCUGAGACAGCCAUUGACUGACACUUAAGCGAUUGUUGUAAAGAUGA